rnacentral:rRNA from 1 species
GACGAACGCUGGCGGCGUGCUUAACACAUGCAAGUCGAACGGAAAGGCCCUGCUUUUGUGGGGUGCUCGAGUGGCGAACGGGUGAGUAACACGUGAGUAACCUGCCCUUGACUUUGGGAUAACUUCAGGAAACUGGGGCUAAUACCGGAUAGGAGCUCCUGCUGCAUGGUGGGGGUUGGAAAGUUUCGGCGGUUGGGGAUGGACUCGCGGCUUAUCAGCUUGUUGGUGGGGUAGUGGCUUACCAAGGCUUUGACGGGUAGCCGGCCUGGGAGGGUGACCGGCCACAUUGGGACUGAGAUACGGCCCAGACUCCUACGGGAGGCAGCAGGGGGGAAUAUUGCACAAUGGGCGGAAGCGUGAUGAAGCAACGCCGCGUGCGGGAUGACGGCCUUCGGGUUGUAAACCGCUUUAGCCUGAGACGAAGCGUGAGUGACGGUAAUGGGUAAAGAAGCACCGGCUAACUACGUG